rnacentral:miRNA from 1 species
UGAGUAUUACAUGGCCAAUC